rnacentral:tRNA from 1 species
GCCACUUUAGCUCAGCUGGUAGAGCAACUGAUUUGUAAUCAGUCGGUCAUUGGUUCGAUUCCGAUAAGUGGCU